UUGACCUCAAAUCAGGUAGGACUACCCGCUGAACUUAAGCAUAUCAAUAAGCGGAGGAAAAGAAACUAACAAGGAUUCCCCUAGUAACUGCGAGUGAAGCGGGAAAAGCUCAAAUUUAAAAUCUGGUAGCCUUUGGUUGCCCGAGUUGUAAUCUAGAGAAGCACUAUCCGCGCUGGA
rnacentral:rRNA from 1 species